rnacentral:rRNA from 1 species
UACGUAGGGGGCAAGCGUUGUCCGGAUUUAUUGGGCGGAAAGGGCUCGUAGGCGGUUUGUCGCGUCGGGAGUGAAAACCAUGGGCUUAACUCAUGGCUUGCUUCCGAUACGGGCAGACUAGAGGUAUGCAGGGGAGAACGGAAUUCCUGGUGUAGCGGUGAAAUGCGCAGAUAUCAGGAGGAACACCGGUGGCGAAGGCGGUUCUCUGGGCAUUACCUGACGCUGAGGAGCGAAAGUGUGGGGAGCGAACAGG